GCAUACCUGCCGGCGACCGGCGCACGGGUGAGUAACACGUAUGCAACCUGCCUACGACAGGGGGAUAGCCCGGAGAAAUUCGGAUUAAUACCGCAUAAUACAGGGGUUCCGCAUGGGGCUCUUAGUUAAAGAAUUUUUGGUAGUAGAUGGGCAUGCGCAGGAUUAGAUAGUUGGUAAGGUAACGGCUUACCAAGUCAGCGAUCCUUAGGGGAACUGAGAGGUUUGUCCCCCACACUGGUACUGAGACAGGGACCAGACUCCUACGGGAGGCAGCAGUGAGGAAUAUUGGUCAAUGGACGGGAGUCUGAACCAGCCAAGUCGCGUGAAGGAAGAAGGUACUAAGUAUUGUAAACUUCUUUUGAGAGGGAAUAAAAAGGGUGACGUGUCGCCUGUUGUAUGUACCUUUCGAAUAAGCAUCGGCUAACUCCGUGCCAGCAGCCGCGGUAAUACGGAGGAUGCGAGCGUUAUCCGGAUUUAUUGGGUUUAAAGGGUGCGUAGGUGGUUUAAUAAGUCAGCGGUGAAAUCUUCCGGCUCAACCGGGAAAUUGCCGUUGAAACUGUUGAACUUGAGAGAGGACGAGGUAUGCGGAAUUCGUAGAGUAGCGGUGAAAUGCAUAGAUAUUACGAAGAACUCCGAUAGCGUAGGCAGCAUACCAGGCCUUGUCUGACACUGAAGCACGAAAGUGUGGGGAUCAAACAGGAUUAGAUACCCUGGUAGUCCACACAGUAAACGAUGAUUACUCGCUGUUUGCGAUAUAUUGCAAGCGGCUAAGCGAAAGCGUUAAGUAAUCCACCUGGGGAGUACGCCGGCAACGGUGAAACUCAAAGGAAUUGACGGGGGCCCGCACAAGCGGAGGAACAUGUGGUUUAAUUCGAUGAUACGCGAGGAACCUUACCCGGGCUCGAACGGCUAUAGAAUACGGUGGAAACAUCGUAGCCAGUGAUGGCUGUAGUCGAGGUGCUGCAUGGUUGUCGUCAGCUCGUGCCGUGAGGUGUCGGCUUAAGUGCCAUAACGAGCGCAACCCUUACCGCCAGUUACCAGCAUGUAAAGAUGGGGACUCUGUCGGGACUGCCACCGUAAGGUGUGAGGAAGGUGGGGAUGACGUCAAAUCAGCACGGCCCUUACGUCCGGGGCUACACACGUGUUACAAUGGGCAGGACAGCAUGUUGCGGGACAGCAAUGUUUAGCUAAUCAGGAAACCUGCUCCCAGUUCGGAUCGAAGUCUGCAACCCGACUUCGUGAAGCUGGAUUCGCUAGUAAUCGCGCAUCAGCCAUGGCGCGGUGAAUACGUUCCCGGGCCUUGUACACACCGCCCGU
rnacentral:rRNA from 1 species